rnacentral:rRNA from 1 species
AGAUCCUACGGGACGCAGCAGUCGAGAAUCAUUCACAAUGGGGGAAACCCUGAUGCAGCGACGCCGCGUGGGCGACGAAGCGCUCCGGCGCGUAAAGCCCUGUCAGCAGGGAAGAACAAAGACAGUACCUGACCAAGAAGCCCCGGCUAACUACGUGCCAGCAGCCGCGGUAAUACGUAGGGGGCAAGCGUUAUCCGGAUUCACUGGGCGUAAAGGGAGCGCAGGCGGCACGGCAAGUCUGGUGUGAAAGCCCG